rnacentral:rRNA from 1 species
UACGAAGGGGGCUAGCGUUGCUCGGAUUUACUGGGCGUAAAGGGCGCGUAGGCGGACAUUUAAGCCCGGCGUGAAAGCCCCCGGCUCAACCGGGGAGGGUCGUCGGGGACUGGUGGACUUGAGGGCGGGCAGGGGCUGGUGGAAUCCCCGGUGGUAGUGGUGAAAUGCGUAGAGAUCGGGGGAACACCCGUGGCGAAGGCGGGCCAGCUGGGCCGACCC